CGGAUCUACACAUGCAGUCGCACGGGGGUAGCAUACUCUAGUGGCGGACGGGUGAGUAACGCGUAGGAAUCUGCCCUGCAGAGGGGGACAACCUGGGGAAACCCAGGCUAAUACCGCAUACGCUCGCAGGAGGAAAGCGGGGGAUCUUCGGACCUCGCACUGUGGGAUGAGCCUACGUCCGAUUAGCUAGUUGGUGGGGUAAAGGCCUACCAAGGCGAUGAUCGGUAGCUGGUCUGAGAGGACGACCAGCCACACUGGGACUGAGACACGGCCCAGACUCCUACGGGAGGCAGCAGUGGGGAAUAUUGGACAAUGGGCGCAAGCCUGAUCCAGCAAUGCCGCGUGGGUGAAGACGGUCUGCGGAUUGUAAAGCCCUUUAGGCGGGGAGGAACGUCGUCGUGCGAACAGUGCGGCGAUCUGACGUUACCCGCAGAAUAAGCACCGGCUAACUCCGUGCCAGCAGCCGCGGUAAUACGGAGGGUGCGAGCGUUAAUCGGAAUUACUGGGCGUAAAGCGUGCGUAGGCGGAUGGGUCAGUCAGCCGUGAAAGCCCCGGGCUCAACCUGGGAACGGCGGUUGAGACGGCCCGUCUCGAGUGGGCUAGAGGAUCGUGGAAUUCCGGGUGUAGCGGUGAAAUGCGUAGAGAUCCGGAGGAACACCGAUGGCGAAGGCAGCGAUCUGGGGCCACACUGACGCUGAGGCACGAAAGCGUGGGGGAGCAAACAGGAUUAGAUACCCCUGGUAGUCCACGCGGUAAACGAUGAGCACUAAGACGCUGGGGGGUGACCUUUCGGUGUCGUAGCUUAACGCGCUAAGUGCUCCGCCUUGGGGGAGUACGGGCCGCAAGGUUGAACCUCAAGGGAAUUGACGGGGGCCCGCACCAAGCGGUGGAGCAUGUGGUUU
rnacentral:rRNA from 1 species